CCCUUAGAUGUUCUGGGCCGCACGCGUGCUACACUGAGUAAUUCAAUGGGUAAGGGAACGCUAGAGCAUUACCUAAUCUUGAAAUUUGCCCGUGAUGGGGAUCGACGGUUGCAAUUUUCCGUCGUGAACGAGGAAUACCUUGUGGGCGCAUGUCAUCAUCAUGCGCCGAAUACGUCCCUGCCCUUUGUACACACCGCCCGUCGCUCCUACCGAUUGAGUGAUCCGGUGAGGCUCUGGGACCUGGACGGAAAGAGCGUUUCGCUUGUUCUGUUUGGGAAACUUGGUCGAACCUUAUCAUUUAGAGGAAGGAGAAGUCGUAACA
rnacentral:rRNA from 1 species